GACAGAGGGUGCAAACGUUGUUCGGAAUCACUGGGCGUAAAGCGCGUGUAGGCGGCACGGCAUGUCGGAUGUGAAAUCCCAUGGCUCAACCAUGGAAGUGCACCCGAAAACUGCCGAGCUCGAGUCUCGGAGAGGAAGGUGGAAUGCUUGGUGUAGAGGUGAAAUUCGUAGAUAUCAAGCGGAACACCGGUGGCGAAGGCGGGCCUUCUGGACGAUGACUGACGCUGAGACGCGAAAAGCGUGGGGGAGCAAACAGGG
rnacentral:rRNA from 1 species